GCGAGUCUUUGUAGUAAUACAAGGCAGACGGCUCAGUAACACGUAGUCAACCUACCCUAUGGACGAGAAUAAUCUCGGGAAACUGAGCAUAAUUCUUGAUAGAUCAUAAUGCCUGGAAUGGUUUAUGGUUAAAAUGAUUCGUCGCCAUAGGAUGGGACUGCGGCCUAUCAGCUUGUUGGUGAGGUAAUGGCCCACCAAGGCGAUUACAGGUACGGGCUCUGAGAGGAGAGGCCCGGAGAUGGGUACUGAGACACGGACCCAGGCCCUAUGGGGCGCAGCAGGCGAGAAAACUUUGCAAUGUGCGAAAGCACGACAAGGUUAAUCCGAGUGAUUUCUGCUAAAGAAAUCUUUUGUCAGUCGUAAAACCACUGGCGAAUAAGGGGUGGGCAAGUUCUGGUGUCAGCCGCCGCGGUAAAACCAGCACCUCAAGUGGUCAGGAUGAUUAUUGGGCCUAAAGCAUCCGUAGCCGGCUUUGUUAGUUUUCGGUUAAAUCCAUGUGCUCAACGCAUGGGCUGCCGAAAAUACUGCAUAGCUAGGGAGUGGGAGAGGUAGACGGUACUCAGUAGGAAGGGGUAAAAUCCUUUGAUCUAUUGAUGACCACCUGUGGCGAAGGCGGUCUACCAGAACACGUUCGACGGUGAGGGAUGAAAGCUGGGGGAGCAAACCGGAUUA
rnacentral:rRNA from 1 species